CUGCAGGUGGCGUUGUGGCAAGUAAUGCACAUGAGAUUAACUGCAACUCAAAGACAUAUGAAGACGAUUUGGACACGAAUUAUGGCUGGCAAAUGCUCGGUGCGCUCAGUCACUCCUUGCUCCAGCCGCUGUACCUCAGACAUAGAGUUACAGCUGAACAGGAGAAGCAGCAGCAGAUGGAAAAUGGUAGAGGACAUCUGUACCUCAGGACCAGGUUUAGGACACAGUGAAAGUUCCCACCAAUCCACAAAUUCAGCACUAUGGAUGCUGUAAAUUAAGAGGGUACACUUCUUAAGCUGUCUACUUGCUGUAUUAAACUAUCAGAUGAUAUCUGUGCAAAACUUGCAACUAUUCGAGAAGAAACAAAAGAUUUAGACAGUGAAGGAAGCCUACAACCUAACAGAAGGUUACUGGUGUUGUAGUACCAGAAAUUCCUGCAGAUCCUGAUAUACACCAGUCAGCCACAACAUUAAAACCACCUACCUACUAUUGUGUAGGUCCCCCUCGUGCCGCCAAAACAGCGCCAACCCGCAUCUCAGAAUGGCAUUCUGAGAUGAUAUUCUUCUCACCACAAUUGUACAUAGCGGUUAUCUGAGUUACCGUAGACUUUGUCAUUUCGAACCAGUCUGACCAUUCUCUGUUGACCUCUCUCAUCAACAAGGCAUUUCCAUCUGCAGAACUGCCCCUCACUGGAUGUUUUUUGUUUUUGGCACCAUUCUAGAGACUGUUGUGUGUGAAAAUCCCAGGAGAUCAGCUGUUAUUAGAAUAUUAGACUAUUGCACUUCAGGGAAAGAAUAUGAUGAUUUUGAUAUGCAAAUGAUCAAUUAACACAUUAACAAUGUACUGCCGUUGCUUUGUUAAUAUGUAAUCACGUAAUCUAUAAAAAGUAACUGUAGUCCAAUAGUCUGUAGUCCGAUUGAGUAUUUCAAAAUGUAAUUAAAUCUGAAUACAAGUACUUGAUUUUGUAAUCUGAUUACGCAAUACAGAUUACAUUUAAUUCGCUACUACCCAGCACUUUCCAUGUUAGAUUGUAAUAAGGCAGAAAGUAAGCAUGAGAGGUGUAAAAAAAAAAAACAGGAUUGCCACUGUCACGUUGUUUGCUACAUGCUCCAUGCUACACCCCAAACCAAAGCCUAAUCUGUCACAUUGUCUCAGACCCCAGGGUACUGCCAACUGUUUACAGCUUGCAAUUUAUUAUACUACUAACUUUUAUUACCAUUCCUGUGCCACCAUCCACCUCUUCGUACAGUGAAGCAAAGCUGCCAAAGCCUAAAUAAAAAAAUAAAAAAAAACAAGGAUCUGUCACCUUUUACAGUGUGCAUGUGUAUGUGCAUGUGUACAGGAAUUCAUGGCUCUAACUCAUACAGUAUGGAUCAAGUCUCAUCAUUGGUGAUAUACGCUCUGAAACCUUCCACUCAACUGCACGAAAUGAAAUUCCCGACUGUUGCAUUUCAUAAGAUGCUGACACUGCCAUAUGGGUCUGAUAUUUAUGUGGAAACCAGUGCAGCUCACACUUUAACUACUUACACAUAUUUAUAUUUGGUGUCUUUCUUGUGCCAUAUUGGAAAUGUCAAACAUUUCUGUUUUACAGUAAUGAGAAUGAGAUUUGCACAUUACAGUAAAGAGUAUUUGAGGGGACAAUGUUCUUAAUUGUCAUGAAAUAAAUGUCACAAUGCAAAAUAAAUAAAUAAUAAUUGUACUAAAAAUAGGUUUCAUUUUCACAAAAUAUAAUGUGACCUGGACAUUUCACCCAAAUUAAUAUAGUAAUCAAUCAGUACCAUGGUAUAUAUCAAAGUACCAUGGUAUUACCAUCUGAUACCAUCACAGUGCUAUGGUACCGCUACAGUAAUUCUUUGUAAUGGCCUUUUUCCUGUUCAUAAAGUAUUUCUAAAUGAUGCAUUUGUACAUCUAUGGAUAUGUGUGUGCGUACUCACCCAGAGUGUUCAGUAGGUUAGAUCUCAUCAGGAAUUUCUCCUGGCUGUGAAAGCUAAUUACCCUAAAUUGAGCAGCACCAGUGCAGACACAGAUGAACCCAAGGGCCUGCUUUGCAUUUUUCAAAUUAAGAGGGCUUCACUUUUCCUUGUGUCUGUGUGGUCAUUAGGGGAAGGGUUUAUGGGAAAAGAAAUUGAACACAGAGCAAGUCAUAUCAAAGCACAGGCCUAAUUCACUUAAAUUUCAGAGAACAAGACAAAUUGAAUCUGGUGCACAAGCUUAAUAUGAAUCAUGUUUUUGGAAAUGCAAAAAGGUUUCUGUGAGGGUUAGAUUUAGGGGUAGGGAAUAGAAAUUAUUGUUAUAUCUGUAUAAAAUCCAUAAAAUGCAUGAGUCCCCACAAUGUUAUAAAAACAAGUUUGUGUGUGUGUGUUGUGGCCAGAAUGUUGUAAUGCAACAGUCUUCAAAAGGGAUAGUUCACCUUUCACUUUAAUUGCAUCUUUUUCCAUACAAUGAAAGUGAAUGUUGACUAAGACUAACACUCUGCCUAACAUCUCCUUUUUUGUUGCACAGAAGAAAGAAAGCCAUAUGGGUUUGGAACAACAUGAGGGGGAGUAAAUGAUAAUGAAAGAGUUGUCAUUUUUUUGGUGAACUAUCUCUUUAGUAAAGAGCAAGGAGGUGGUGUAGAUGGAGAUAAUUGUAUCCUCUACCCCUCCCCAGUUGUCCACUGUGGCAUAGCGCAGAUGGUCUGAUGUUAGAAAGCCACAUUACUCUGUAUAUUUGUUUUAAUCUUGAGUGCCUCUGU